rnacentral:rRNA from 1 species
GAUGAACGCUAGCGGCAGGCCUAACACAUGCAAGUCGAGGGGUAGAACACUUCGGUGUUUGAGACCGGCGCACGGGUGCGUAACGCGUAUGCAAUCUACCUUGCACAGGGGAAUAGCCCAGAGAAAUUUGGAUUAAUGCCCCAUAGUAUAUAACCUUCGCAUGUUGGUUAUAUUAAAGUUCCAACGGUACAAGAUGAGCAUGCGUCCCAUUAGUUAGUUGGUAAGGUAACGGCUUACCAAGACGAUGAUGGGUAGGGGUCCUGAGAGGGAGAUCCCCCACACUGGUACUGAGACACGGACCAGACUCCUACGGGAGGCAGCAGUGAGGAAUAUUGGUCAAUUGGCGCAAGCCUGAACCAGCCAUGCCGCGUGCAGGAAGACGGUCCUAUGGAUUGUAAACUGCUUUUAUACAGGAAGAAACCCUCCCACGUGUGGGAGAUUGACGGUACUGUAGGAAUAAGGAUCGGCUAACUCCGUGCCAGCCGCCGCCGUAAGAC